rnacentral:rRNA from 1 species
GACGAACGCUAGCGGCGUGCCUAACACAUGCAAGUCGAGCGAAUGAAGUUCCUUCGGGAAUGGAUUUAGCGGCGGACGGGUGAGUAACACGUGGGCAACCUGCCUCAUAGAGGGGAAUAGCCUUCCGAAAGGGAGAUUAAUACCGCAUAAGAUUGUAGUAUCGCAUGAUACAGCAAUUAAAGGAGCAAUCCGCUAUGAGAUGGGCCCGCGGCGCAUUAGCUAGUUGGUGAGGUAACGGCUCACCAAGGCGACGAUGCGUAGCCGACCUGAGAGGGUGAUCGGCCACAUUGGGACUGAGACACGGCCCAGACUCCUACGGGAGGCAGCAGUGGGGAAUAUUGCACAAUGGGGGAAACCCUGAUGCAGCAACGCCGCGUGAGUGAUGACGGCCUUCGGGUUGUAAAGCUCUGUCUUCAGGGACGAUAAUGACGGUACCUGAGGAGGAAGCCACGGCUAACUACGUG